UUGAAAAACGCUAUUUGGUGUAGAAAUUUCAAGAUUUUAGCUAAAAGGGAAAUAUUGAAAAAUUACAAACAUAAUUACCGAAAAUUUGCCGUUUUGCAGUUGUUUUUGUAUUUUUUAAAUAUUUUUCUUUUCGCUGAAGUCUUGAAAUUUCCACACCGAAUAGCAAUUUUCAAUAGCUUCAAUUUGAUAUGUAGCCCAACGUUUGGGGUCAAGUAUUUCUGCUCAUAACUCAGAAAAACUAUUUCGGCUUCAUCAAAUCAUAGGCCUUCAUCAUAGCAGUUAGCCUUCCAGUUUAUUUAUAGUUCAAUG